rnacentral:rRNA from 1 species
GUCGGGGGUUGCAAGCGUUAUCCGGAAUCACUGGGCGUAAAGCGUCUGUAGGUGGUGAUGCAAGUCACUGGUGCAAAACUCUGGCUCAACCGGAGGAAAGCCAGUGAAACUGCAUGACUAGAGUGUGGGAGAGGUAGAAGGAAUUCCCUGAGUAGCGGUGAAAUGCGUAGAUACAGGGAAGAACACCGGAUGCGAAAGCGUUCUACUGGAACACAACUGACUCUGAGAGACGAAAGCUAGGGGAGCGAAUGGG